GAUGAACGCUAGCGGGAGGCCUAACACAUGCAAGUCGAGCGGUUGAGGUAGCUUGCUACCGAUGCAGCGGCGGACGGGUGAGUAAUACAUGGGAAUCUGCCUGGUAGUGGGGGACAACGUUUCGAAAGGAACGCUGAUACCGCAUACGCCCUACGGGGGAAAGGGGGGGAUCUUCGGACCUCUCGCUAUCAGAUGAGCCC
rnacentral:rRNA from 1 species